rnacentral:rRNA from 1 species
UACGGGGGGAGCUAGCGUUGUUCGGAUUUACUGGGCGUAAAGGGCGCGUAGGCGGAUCUUCAAGUCAAAUGUGAAAACCGACGGCUUAACCAUCGGCCUGCAUUUGAUACUGUUGAUCUUGAGUACGGGAGAGGAAAGCAGAAUUCCUGGUGUAGCGGUGAAAUGCGUAGAUAUCAGGAGGAACACCGGUGGCGAAGGCGGCUUUCUGGCCCGAUACUGACGCUGAGGCGCGAAGGCCGGGGGAGCAAACAGG